rnacentral:rRNA from 1 species
UAACGCGUAGGAACCUGCCCUGGUGUGGGGGACAAGCCACCGAAAGGUGGUCUAAUACCGCAUACGGUCCCGUUCGCAAGGAUGGGAAGAAAGCUCGUGAGAGCGCACCUGGAGGGGCCUGCGUCCGAUUAGCUAGUUGGUGGGGUAAGGGCCUACCAAGGCGAUGAUCGGUAGCUGGUCUGAGAGGAUGAUCAGCCAGACUGGGACUGGGACACGGCCCAG